AAACUCCUAGAUAUUUUGAGAUUCAUUGAACUGUUUAAUGGCAUGUUUCAAUCUCGAGUGUGCCCUUCAGGUUUUGUGACUGGGAUGCCGAGGAUCACAAAACAAGGUGUGAAGUAACCAUGCAAAUUACUUGGUACCCUUAAGUGUUUACCCCUCAAUCGAUGUGCCGGUUAACCACACACGCUCCAUCGAUACUAUGAUAAACAUUAAGUUACCCUUUGCCUACCUUGUUAAAUACGAGUUAGUGUGCCGGUUAACCACACACGCUCCACUAACCGACUUAAACAAAGUGCAAAGUGUAAUUUCAUGGAUUAGCACCUUAUUCACAUUUUCCUAAGUAACUAAGAUUGGGUAUUAAUAAGAGUUUAGUUACUUAGUAUUUAUCAUUAAUACUUUUAAUGAAGGGAGAAUUAUAGUCCUUGUCCUACCCGUUCGGCUAACGACCCUCCACCAGUCAAGGAAGCGGUGGGUGAGAGUGGACACCCAUUAAACUGCCAUUUUAUAGGCAGUAACCUUAUACCCCCCUUAUAGACCGGCUUCGUGAAUGAGGCCUACUAACGGUAAGACUGACUUUACUCUUAUACAUAUAUAUAAAUAUUAUUAACUUAUAAUAUUAUAAAGUAUAAGGGUUGAAUUUUAACUUUUAAAAUUCUAAGGGCUAACUUGGAAUUAAAGUAUUCAUAAGUGAAAACUUUUCAAAUUCCAAAACUUGAGGGCAAGUUUUGAAACUAUUCAAAACUAAUUAAUUCCAUAACUUAUGUGUUUAAAGUAGUUUUAAUCCAAAAACUCUUCAAGUUCCAUAACUUGAGGACAAGUUAUGGAAGACUUUAAACUAAUAAAAGAAUGUAACUUUUUCUUUAUUUUGUAAGUUAUGGAAUUUAAUUAAGGUUACACUUUUUAUUACUUAAUGAAGUGACUCUUGAACCUCCAUAACUUGAGGACAAGACUCUUCAUUUUUUGUAACCAUUGCCAACUUUUAUGAGUUUUAUGAAACUUAAAUGUGAAUUUUCAUAUAACUUGAUGACAAGUUACAAAAACACAUUUUAGAAUCAACUCUUAGAUUAAAAUGGAUUGAAAACACAUAAUCAAUUAACUUUUCUAUUAAUCUAAGCAACUUAUAAGAACAAGAUAAUUCAAAUCAAAGUUUUUCAUGUAAUUAGUCUAAAAUUUAAACUAAUACAAAACAUGAAUCUAUUGACAAUUAUCUUUGAAAUUGGAUUAGCAUGAACAUUACCACAUCAAAAACAAGUUUAUAAGUCCAAAAACAUCUUUGGGUAAUGUUCCUAGUCCAAUUCCAGCCAAAAAAGUCGAAAAUAUGUUGUCUGGGGGUCCAACUCGUCGAGUGCAUGAACCAAAUCGACGAGUUGGAUCGUUUUGACCACUUUUAAGGCAUGGAAUCGUCGAGUCCCCUGAUGGAAUCGCCGAGUCCCCAGAUGGUCUCGCCGAGUCCGUUGUCCAGACAGCACAAAACUUCGAUUUUUAAGCAGUUUUUGCAAGUAUAACAAGAAAAUAAGCCUCGGCUCUAAUACCACUGUUGGGUUUUGAGCAUUCUAACACUCCUAAGUAUGCAUGCAACCCUAAAUACCUUGGAUCUAUGUUUUCUCUAUUAUACAUGCAAAUAUGAACUUUCCAAAGUAUUCAUCCUAACUAGCAUAAUAACAUUGAUUCAAAUGAAUAUAUCAAGUUAGAAUUACAAACCUCUUUGAUGUAGAUUAUCUUCAUGAAGCUUGAGUGCCUAGUGACACAAGUGUAACACCUCAAUUGGUUCACACAACACCAAAUACACUUGGAAUAGAUUGAGAGAACAUACACACUUCAUGAAAUCGGCUAGCCCUUUCUAUUACCCAUAGUGGCCGAUUUUUCCAAGAAUAUGAUCUUUAUAUAGUGCCACAAUUAGGGUAAACCCUAAUUGUCAUGGCUUUCCAUAUCCUUGGAUCCAUGGGUUCAAAUACACCAUGGAGCAUCCUAUGGGUUUUAGCCCAACUUGAUAAUCCAUGGAGUCUUAGCCCACUAUACAAGUAUGGAUGAUUUACACAAUCAACCCAUAUAUUUAAUUAGUCUUCUUUUGAUCACUUGAUUAAUCCUAGAUUAAUUCUUGAUCAAUACUAAUUAAAUAAUCUUAUUAAUAUAUUAGAAAUUAUAAUAUAUUAACAAACCUGAAGUGUUAUUUCUCUCAUUAUAGUCUAUCCAAAUGCAUGAUGCCAUGCAACCCAAAUGGACCAUGUCGGGUCGGGUCAAGUCUUACCAAUUAUAGUUAUGUACUUAGACAUUAAUCCAACAGUCUCCCACUUGGAUAAGUCUAAAACUAUUAUUGCGUAUGACUUCAAGAACCGACUGGCAAUUAUAGCUCUCAAAAGCUUCUAUCAAACUCUGACCUUGUAGAUGAACUCUGACCUUUGUCAAUGACUUGUCAAUUAGAUAAGGGAUCAUAUAUUCCUCCAUUCUAGAUAUCAUAUGGAUUGAGACAUGGAUUAUAAUCAUUGUCUCUGUCCAUUUGCUGUUUCCCGAUUUCCGAUUUAUGACGACUUACUAAUUAAAUAAAUCAAAUCAGUCCAGGCCCGGCUGAGCACUUACAUUUGUCAUCACCAAAUCAUCGAGGGCCCACACAUAUCGCUUUUAUCCCGAAGGUAAAAGGAAUGGAUAAACUUCGACUCAUAAGAAUGCACUAUGAUUUACUUAGAGAACUAAUUGUGCUAUGGUUUCUUAAUCAUUAAGAUGAUCAAAAAAACUGAUACUAAAGUACUCUCCCAUAUUUUCAGAUUUGAGAAACUUUGAUCUUUCUGCCUAAGUUGAUUCUUCUUAUUCGCUCUGUCUUACAUUUAAAUAUUUCCAAUGUUUCAGAAUUAUACUUAAACUUGUAAGUAUAACCAUAUUUUCUGAACUCAAGUAAAUCAUGACAAAUAGUCUUAUCGAUCUUUUGUGGUGGACUUAAUCAGUGCACCAAAAUGUGUACUCGAUCCCUUAGUCCAUUACUUGACUCACACAUCCAUGUGAACAAGUAGUUAGUCUUAAUUUUUCCAAUGCUUCAAAGUUCUCAUUCAUCAUGCUAUACAACUUGCAUGAUUCCAAGUUCCGGUCCAAUUUAAGCUUGGGUGAUGAGGAUCUUUCCUUAUUUGGUAAAUUUAGACAUUACCACAAAUGAAAGAAUCAAUUUCAUAUUUCCACUCUUGCUAUUAAUGGAAUCAUAUAAGCAACAAUUUUUUCACAAACGCCAUUGUAAGGAUACAUAAAAUAAAUAAAAUCAAAAAUUUCCUUUUUAUUUUUAAAACUUUGUGGAAAACCUAUCCUUACAAUCCAUAUGAAAACUUGUUGUUAGCUAUUCCUAAGCAAUAUCUCAUAACUCCUAAGAAGUAGCUCAAGAAUCCGAUCUUCAAUCUAUGCAAUAGAAAUCCAUCAACGCGAUCAAAUUUAGCAUAUUCUUUCUUUAAGUUUCUUCACUUUUCUUUGAUUCUCCUCCACUAACACCUCAAUCCAUUGAGAAAAGCGUUUCACCGACCUAUCCAAGGUAGCUACCUUGUCCUCCAAUGACACUUUCUCCCCUACUAAAAGAUCAUAAUGCUCCUCGAACGAUCGCUUCUCCCCCUUUAACUCCAGCAACUUCGCUUACAGUUCAUCCCACUCGGCUUUAAUCAAAGCAAGCUCACUCGAAUAAUAAUCGCUUUAACCAAAGCAAGCAGCAGUCACCACCAUGUACGAACCAACCCAUGAAUUUGUAUAUAAAAGGUUGUUUAAAAGAUGUUAGAGAGAAGCUCCAAAGCCUCAAUGGUAGCAGGAGGAAAAGCAUGGGAACCCCAAAUCAUAUACCGCCACAUGUUGGGAAAGGCGAGAUUCCAGGGUUAUCCCCAUCCUAUCACAUAUAUAGCCGAAGCUACCGGAUGAGCAGAAGUAGAUCCCCUGAUAGUAACCUCCCCGGUCAGAAGCGGGACUGGUAAGUUUGGAACACCUUCGCGAACAACGUCUGGGGCAGUAGUUUCCAGUGGGUCCUCUUUAGGUUCACGGGGUAGUUCAGUUUCCCCUUCUCUCAUCCCUUCCGACUGUUUCAAAGUGUCAUCAUCUGGGAUUUCAACCACUACAAUAUCCUCCCCCAGAAGGAAGUCCACGUUCCGCCUCUUGAGACGGUGUCGACUCGAGGAGCUGGCCUCAACAUACUCUGGAAGCAGAGAAUCCAGCCAGGAAAGUCAUCGUUUGGAGGCCACAUGGGUGCUACGCCAUGUCUUUCAGGUCGAGGUCUCUUCCUCUUCCGUAUCAGAAGGCAAAGGAUCCUCAUGGGAAACACCACCGACAGGUGCAUCAAUCAACACCUGGACAACAGCAGAAUCAGAACCGAGCAGAGAAGCACCAAAAGGGCUGACAAUAGCUAAGGCACGGUCGGUACUGACCAGUGGAGAGAGCGACUCAACCAAGGGUAUUUCCCAGUAUUGGUAGGUGCCUUAAAAGUGGCCCCUCAACACCAUCUCAAAGGGAAGGAUCCUCUCGUGAUCUGCAAACGAUAAAUAAGCCAACAUAGUUCGCAAAACACACAAGAAAACAGAAGAAAAUAACAAUCUAAAGGGGGGCGGGGGGAGGAGAGGUACUUACCAUCCUUCUCAACAUAGAACUGAGGCAUCAUCCCCCAAGCUCUCCAAGAAAUGCUCAUCCCAACUGCAACCAUCAUAUGAUCCUCCCAAUCCUCGCCAUUGAUGCAAAUGGUCUUCUAUGCUUGCGACACAGUGGCACUAGCACCCCAUAGUUCUGGUGCUCAAUCAGAAAAUGUAGUCAAAUGAGGAUAGCCAAAACCGACAUGGUUUCGAUUUACCUAGAAGCACCUCUUCGGGGCUUUUAUGGUUAAUGAUAAAGGCUUGAACACCCUGCCUUUGGGAAAAAGUCCGAGCACCGGACUAAGUAGAAGAAUUGAAGAAAGAUUUUAAUACCCAAAACUGUAGUAGAAAUCCAAGGGUUCGAUAGACGAGUUCAAAACCAACAAUCUUGCUGACAAUGUUUGGAGUCAAGUCAUCCACACAGACGCCAUACUAAUGCAUUACCUCAUUAAAAAUUCCAUUUUUGGCAACCUCAGACCAACCUUGACGAUCGGAAAGGGGACUCCAACUUUCCCCUCUGGCAGACGAGAAGUUAUAGCCCCUUUUGAGGGUAUUCCACACCAUGUUCAUGGAGAAAACAAAACUGCUUUCGAAUACCGGCAAACUUGCUCGAAGAAGGAAUGAUUAUGGUAUAUGGGCCAUCCAUUGUUCUUCGAAAAAUAGAGAGAAAGUGGAAAAGAAGUCACAAAAGUGAGAAGAAGAAAAAAUAAAUAAAAGGGGAACUGACACAAAUGGAGGAAGAUUUAAAUGCAGGUGUGAAGUUCAAGCGGUUAUGAUGAUGAAAACCGCCUGUGCAUACGCCUCCGUCGCGUCAGAAGUUGUCAAAGAGCCAUCCCCACCAAACGCGUGUCCAGAUCUAAGCUAGAACAACUCAACUACUCUAAGAAAACAUUGAAUCUACUAGCCUAGUGGACUUUAUAGCGUAUCCCAUUAGGAGUACGUCAAACAUAAUGGAACCAUUAAUCUGAUAGAUAGUUUGGGAAAAGAGCGGCGUAUGCUUAACGUCGUGUCCUUGUCCUCGCCCUCAUGAUCCCGUAUUCAUUCCUUGGCACCGAAGCGCCAUGGUCAGUGUCAAGACAAAAUAGUACCAAUUGCCCCCCCAGAGUGACAUUUGCAGCGCUCAGGGUGCCGCUCCUGGAAAACAUGCACCAAUAGCAAACAACCACCCAUGGAGCAUGAUCUACCAAUCGGAGACCACCUAUCCACGCCAAACCUGAAAAGGUAGAAGAUACUGUAGGAGAUUUGUCCCCUAGCCACAGGUAUAAUAAGGUCCCUUCUCCUCCAUGAGAAGUGAUAGAAAAAACAUCACCCUUAAACUCUUACUUAACCUUUUUUCACCUUCUCUCGAAGAGAAUGACUGUAUUGAACGUCGUAGCCUCGUUUUGGGACUGCCUCCCAGACAACGAUUGGUGAUCUUGUUUUCUUUGCUAUGAUUCUCAGGCCCUUCAUUCCCAUCCCUCAAAGAGAUGGAGUUAAGCGGGAGACGUAUCACAACACUCUGUAGGGUGUUAAUAUUCGAAGGAUUCUCUCUUUUUGCUAAGUAUGAGUUUAUUUGUACUCAGCCAAAGUUCUUUGUCUUUGUUCCAAGAGUUCGCACUUGCAAGCUUGGUGGUCGUCUUUCCUUGGAGUCCAUAGCCUGUUGGCCGAGACCUUGGCUGGUCCCAUCUUAUGAACCUUGAUUGGUCCAUUUUAAUAGGGUACACUUUUUGGAUAGAGUUUUCUAGUUACCCUUUAAGACUUUGUUCCAAGUCUUGGGCCAAGGAGGGUUGCACUCCAUGCCUAGUCAUCUAAGUUAAGCCGAGAUCGUCACCUCGAGGCAUUAAGGACUUAUGUAUUUUUGUAUCAAGGGAAAGGUUGCGAGCCUUUAAAGCCUUUAUUAAUGUCAUGGUCAAAGUUCGUAGUCCUUUGAGUUAGAUUGACAUGUUUAGGGAAAGGCUAUGAUGCUUUAAAGCCUAGUGGUUACAUUCUCGUAUCAAUUUCCCUCAAGUGAUGCUGAUGAUCUACCGUUUUGUGCUUCCAAGAAAUAAACUCUAUUCUCGUGCGUCUCAACUAUUCGGUCGGUAUGCCAGAGCUAUCCAGGCCAUGCUAAUGGACCUGACAUUAACAAGUCCUCCCACUAAUAACAUAUAGAACGAGGCUACUAUAUGAAUAUGUAGCAUGGAUGUCAUCUUCAAGGUGUUUCUUUCACGGUCUAUGCCUAGAUGUUUCCCCUAGUCUGAUGUGGGUAGAACAGGUAGUCGUAUCAGACUAUGAUGUAUGUGGUGCUAAGCAUGGUAUAGGAUAGUGACGCACGACUUACGGUGCAUGGUGAUGUGUGACAUAUAUUGAGCGACUUACCAGAAUGGGCUAGGCAUAACAGCCAGGCGAUCGUAGAGAUGUCAUGUGAGAGAGUGUUAUGUGCAAGAGAUCGGGCUUAACAUCUAGCGCUCGUGAAUACUUCAUGAAGGAUGGCACCGCGUUGGAAAUGUAUCAACAAAGGUUAUGAGACUUCAAGUCUUGUUCGCUAGGCAUGCUAUGAUAGUGGAGUUAAGUUGAGGAUCCAAGUGAUUCAAGGAGAAGGUUAUGUACCUUUUAAUCCAUGUAGGCGGAGAAGGCCACAAUGGUGGAGUCAGGAAAGAAAACGAUGCGACUUAAGACUAAGGUAAUCAACCUUGCAGGCGGAGCUUGCUGCUGUAAUGGAGUCGGGCUAGAAAGCCAAGCGACUGAAUGUAAAGGUUAUUGUCUGGACCGUUAACAAGAUUACGCUUAGUAGCCUACAAUCUAUGUGCCCGACCUAGGUGAUUGGUUUGGCCUGAAUGUAGAGUCCCUUGAUGCUUUUCUGCAUCAUUAGCUAUAGUGAAAAUCAGUGCCUCCUUGUCUUGGUUGUUUGUCGAGAGCUGAGGCUAGUGGGAGCUGAACAACACGACUGAUGAGAUUUGAGUAGUGAGGCUGCAUGGAGCUCGUCGACACGACGGUGAGGAGUUGGGUUGUGCGGUUGCUAAGCUGGGUAGUGGGAUGUCUUGGAGCUAGUCAACACGACUAUUGUGACUAAUCGCAACUAAAAUUUGUCUCUAGAAAUACUAUUUGACGAAAAACUAAUGGGUUUUGAAUAGUUCAUCAUUCCUAUGGUGCACAUGCAACCCUAAUUGCUUUGGAUCUAGGUUUUUCUGAAGUUAUACAUGCAUAUUAAUUUCCAAAGCAAAACCCUAAUCUAGCAUACAUAUUUUCGGAUUCAAUGAAUAAACAAAAGGUUAGAAGAAUACCUUCUUGUUGAUUGUUUGAUCUUGACCUUCAAGAGCUUAGUGCCUCAGUUGUUGCACCUCUAACGGAGUCACAAACACCACUUAGCAAAAUAUGAACAAAAGAGUGAGGAUGGAGGCUAUCAAUUUCGGCUAGGGUUCUUCUAUCAAGCAUAGGGGGCCGAAAACAGGUAACCAGGGGCUCUUUAUAUAGUUGAGCUACUACUAGGGUUUUGAGCUGGAAACCCUAAUUCCCUUGCUUAAGCCCUAAGCAACACAUGGAACCCCAUAUAGCAAGCCUUGGAUGAAAACUCUAUGGGCUCCCCAUAGAUUUUCAUGCAUUCUAUACCAAUAGGAUCCAUUAGCCCAAACUAUAAUUAUUAUGGAUUUACAUAAUCAGUCCCCGUUCUUUUAAUCAGUCUAUUUUGAUCACUAAAUUAAUUCAAAAUUAAUUUUUGAUCAAUACUAAUUAAAUAAUAUAAUUUCUCAGUUAAUAUAUUAUUCUUAUAAUAUAUUAAUAAAUCUUUUAUCAACCUCUUUCUCAUAAUUCAUACCGUCAAGUUGUUAUGGUGAUGGCAACCCAAAAGGACCAUGCUACUAUCGGGUCAAGUACAUACCAAUUAUAGUUAUGGGCUUAGACACCUAAUCCAACAGUCUCCCACUUGGAUAAGCCUAAUAACUAUAACUGCAAGUAUGACUUCAAAAUCCGAUUAGCAAUCAUAGCUCUCAAAAGCCACUGUCGAACUCUGACCUGGUCAAUGAUGCAUCCUUUAGAUUAGGGAUCAUAUACUCCUCCGCUAUGCAAGAUAUCAUGUGGACAAAGACAUGGAAUAAAGGCAUAAUCAAUGUCCAACAAUUUGUUUCCUGAUUUCUGAUUUGUUUGACAACGAACUUAAUUGAACACGUGAAUUCUGUCCUGACCGAGACCAGCACAUAAGUCAACACAAAAUCAUCUUGGGGCCUAAUAUAUCGUUUUUACCCUCCAAGGAUAAAAGGAUCAUACAAAAUUUGAGUUACAUGCUUGUUCUAUUUACUCAUCAAAUCGUACACAACAAUACGUUUUAUAACAUCAAGUUACUAAUACGUUUACGCAUUAUCAAUGCACAACCGACUUGUAAAAAACAACUCAUAUAUCUCGGUUUAAAGACUAUACAAUAUUAUCGUCUCACAAUCGCUUGUGAUAAAUUCCAUGAAGUGAUUCACAUGAGUGUAGGUUUAAUCCAAUACUCAAAUCUUAUUUUAGAUGUACUCAUGAGCGUUGUAUCAAACCUUUGUUAUGUCUAAGAACUUAAACAAUCUACAAUCAAUUCAUGAUAGUCUAACCUCAUAACUUACUCCCAAUGUAUGAUUGACUAUGGAUAAUUUAAACAAUCUAAUUAUUCUAGAAGUAAAACAUGCAAAAUUGAAACAAUAGUAAACAAUCGAGACAAGAUAGUAAACAUUACUCAUAAAUUAAUCUCCAUUACUUAAUCAUCAAAUUUCAAUUACAUUUAUCUAUCACAAGUUUCUAAACAUAUAUCUAAUCAUUAAAACUAAUAUCGUCCUUUAGACCAAUGCUCCUCGCAUACUGUAUGUGCUUAACCCUACUUAGACCCUUUGUGAAGGGAUCUGUUGGGUUCUCCUCUUAUGAUACCCUCUUGACUAUGAGGAGUCCCUAUUCUACCCGAUGUCUGAUGAAGUGGUAUUUUCUGUCGAUGUGUCUGGAUCUACCAUGAUCCCUUGGUUCCAUUUUCAAGGCAACCGCUCCUUCGUUAUCAUAGUAAAUCUCCAUAGGCUCCUUUAUGGCUGGUACAACUCCAAGGUCUACAAUGAAGUUCUUCAACCAUAUCGCCUCCUUCGACGCUUCGCUCGCUACUAUGUACUCUGAUUCACACGUUGAAUCAGCCACGAUAUCCUACUUGGAACUUUUCCAUGUAAGUGCUCCUCCAUUUAGGGAAAAUAUCCAGCCCAACUGAGAUCAGAAGUUAUAUCUGUUGAUCUGAAAGUUGGCGUCACUAUACCCUGUCACUCUCAAUUCAUCACUCCCACAAAGUGUAAGGACCCAGUCCUUAAUCCUUUGUAGGUACUUAAGAAUGUACUUAACUGUUGUCUAAUGAGCUCUACCCGGGUUCCCUUGAUAUCAGCUAACCAUGCUCAACGUAAAAGCCACAUCAGGGCGAGUACAUGUCAUAGCGUACAUGAUCGAGCCAAUGGUGGAAACAUAUGGCACUCGACUCAUUUCCGCUAUCUCUGCAUCAAUAUUUGGACUCUGAGUCUUACACAGAUUGGUAUUUCUUUGGAUUGGUAAUUCCCCUUUCUUGGAAUUCUCCAAGCUAAAGCGUUUCAGCACCUUGUCCAAGUAAGAACUUUGACUAAGUCCUAUCAUUCUCCUACUUCUGUUUCUCAAAAUCCUUAUCCCUAGAAUAUAAGUAGCCUCUCCUAGAUCCUUCAUAGCAAAACACUUCCCGAGCCAGGAUUUAACCUCCUGCAAUGUCGGGAUGUUGUUUCCUAUGAGCAGUAUGUCAUCAACACACAAAACUAGAAAGCUAUCUAUACUCCCAUUAGCCUUAACAUACACACAUGACUCAUUCUCGCUUCUUGAAAAUCCAAACUGUUUGACUUUCUCAUCGACACAAAGAUUCCAUCAGUGAGACGCUUGUUUUGAUCCAUAGAUGGACUUCUCAAGCUUGCACACUCUAUUAGGGUACUUUACGUCUACAAAACCCUCUGGCUGACACAUGUAAACAUCUUCAACCAACUUCCCUUUAAGGAAAGCAGUUUUGACAUCCAUCUGCCAUAUUUCAUAAUUAUGAAAUGCAACUAUGGCCAACAUAACCCUUAUAGAUUUGAUCUUGGUCACUGGUGAGAAGAUCUCAUCAUAGUCAACCCCCGGGAUUUGAGUAAAGCCCUUCGCAACCAAUCGUGCCUUGAAUGUAUGCACUUUCCCAUCUAUGUCGGUCUUCUUCUUGAAACUCCACCUGCAGCUGACCCUCUUACGACCUGGUAAAUUUCCAACCAAGUUCCAAACUUGAUUGUCAUACAUGGACUGAAUUUCGCUUUCCAUUUCCUCCUUCUAUUUUGCAGACUCUUGGCCCACCAUGGCUUCCUUGUAGUUGUCAGGUUCAUCUAAAUUUAUCAGUGUACUAUCACUGAUAAACGUAUCACCUUCUACAGUUAUAUGGAAACCAUACAACACAGGUGGAACACUAACUCUACUGGAACAUGUUAGAGGGAAGGACUCAUCAACUUGUUUAACAAGAAUCUCUUCCUCAAGUUGAGUGCUAGUGUUAGAGGUUCCUUCUUCGCUUGACUCUUGAAGCUCUUUAAGAUCAAUGUGCCUCCUACUGUCCUCUUGGCAUAUGAGUUCUCUUUCGCGGAAAACGCAUCUCCAUGCUAUGAAGACCACGUUGUCACUCGGUCUAUAGAAAAGUUAUCCAAAAGAUUUUUGUGGGUAGUUGUCACACCCCAAAAACAUGAAUGGCGGAAACAUUCUAGGACGGAGGACGUCAUGUACAGUAUCACAACAAUGAAUAAUAGUAAACAAGCAACAACAUCAUCCAUUGCAUUAAUAAUAUAAUUUCAUACAUGUGUGUUCUGUCAAGUUAUAUAGACACCAAAAUAUACAAAUCAAAAUAAAGACGAGUCUUGAACGAACUCCAUCUUCUCAAAAGCCUGGCACCUAUACCUGUCUAUUGGUGACCUGAGAAUACAAGUUAUUUUGAAAGCGAGUAUCAGCUUAAAGCUGGUGAGAUCAUAAGUAUAUUAAUGUAUGUGUUUGUAUGAAAGCAUUUGUAACAUGUUUUGUAAGAUGUUUUGUACAAUGUUUUGUAAAAUGUUUGAACUCUCCUAGAAAACCCUAUGUUUCCUACUAACUGUAGCAUUCUACCAAGGCAUCUGGUGUCUGUGCGUGUGUCUCUUGUUAGAGUGUGUGUUUUCCCAAUUCUGACUAUCAUUUACCAAAAAUAUAGUUUUUACAUUACUAUGCAUCAUGUGAAUAUUCACGAGGUGAAUGUUAUGGGAAAAUAUCAUAGUACCGUAGUAUUUGUAAUAAGUGACUACCACUGUACUAACUGCCUUACAACAAAAGGUGUCCAAAGUAACAUGUGAUCGACAUGUAUCCUGCUAUCGACUCUAGUAAAACGACACUAUAAGACGCCGUAAGAAAUGACAUUUGGCACCCGUAGACUUGCAAGUCCCACUAUAACGAGCAGCAAGGUGUAGGAUAGUCAAUCCAAUAUAGAUCUAUACGCAAACUCAUACGCUCCCCAAUUAAGGAGAUUCUGGAUACAAAAACGGUCAUGGCAGGGAGUGUCAUGCCUCGUUUAAUAGUUCACAUAACUACAUGAAUGUAUAAGUAAUGAAUGUGCUAGCUAUAUUGUGUGUUCUUUCUCUGUCUAGCCUGUAUGUACUGUAAAGUUUUGUGUGUGCUAGCUAUGACGUGUGUUCUCUUUCUAUCUAGCAUGUAUAGUAAUGUACUGUAUGUACUACUCGUACUGACUCAUGAAUGAACUGACUCAUUGUAUGUUUCAUUGUUCCAGUAAUAGUAAUCGUAUCUUCCUGCGCUACCCCUAUGGUAGCUUACUAGUAAUGUAACUGGUACGUAUGAACAUGGAAGUAUAGCCUUGCUACUCAAGGGUAUUGAAUUGACUGGAAGAGCUUUUAUGACUAUAUAUGUACACAUGAUAUAUAACUAAUAUUUAAACGACCUUCGGACGGAUACCCGAUACCUUACCAGACCACAUCCCAACGGGGAAAAGGAAAUAAAGCGGGCAGGCCUUCCUAAGACUUUUAAACAUUUCUCAUAUAACUAUACAUACAUAGACAUGCAUUUGAUAAUAAGUAUAAAAGAGCUUAAGUAAAAGUAUUUGAUAAGUAAAAGAGUUUGUAAAACCGUUUAAUAAAUAGUUUGAACAGUAAGAAAAACCAUUGGAUUUGUAGGUAUUAAUCACAUGUGAUUGAUGUAAUAACUAUAAGUAUUUAACUUGUAUUCCCCCCCCCCCUAAAAGCAUUUAAAAACAUUUAAACCAUUAUUAAGGGGUAUGAACUCACCUGUAGUGAGUGGUACGGAUGAACUGAAGAUGUAGGAUUGCUAGGUGUCAAGUGAACUCUUGAACACGCUCUAUGAUCCUAGUUAACAUAUAAUAUCACAUAAAUGUAUCAAAUUAGUCUUUCAACAACUAAUAAACAGAUUCAAGACACCCUAGGACAUGCUAAACACCUUAAACAAGUGUUAUAAGUCUCAAGGAUUGCAUCUAAGUGUUGUAGNNNNNNNNNNNNNNUGUGUAGGGUUCAAGGAAAACUCCCUAAUGGAGUUCACGGCCCUAAGGUCAUCAACAAAUGAGUUUACAGUCGUAAACUCAUGAAGCUCAUACUUCCUUGACCAUUUGAUGUUUUGAGGCUUUACAAGACCCUAAGAAGCAUUUCUACUUGAUGGUAAAGUCUUUGGAAGAGAUUAGGGCACCUUUCAACUCCUUUGAGGAGUUCACGGCCCUAGAACCAAAUCCCUUAGAGAUUACGUCCGUAAUCUCUCAUGGGCAUGGUGUUUUUGGUGUUUUCAAGUCCCUAACUUAACUAGGAAUGAAUCUAGGCUAGUGUGCAAGGCUUAUGAAGAGUUAAAGCACACUUUGGCACUCUUGAUUGGGGUUCACGGUCCAAGAACUUCUUGGGCUGUGAACACUUUACUCUUUGUGUUCUUGGGGUGUUUUCUAUUCCUAAAUACAUUAGGGUAUGAGUCUAGGCUUGUUUUAUUGCAAAAGGAAGGGACUAGGGCACUCUUUUGUCCCUUAAAGAAGGGUUUACGGUCCAAGAUGUUGUUGGGCCUUAAACUCUUUGAUCUUGUUGUUUUCAUAUGAUUUCUAGGUUAUUAGGCACAUAUCAAGCUCUAUAAUACACUUAGAUAGAAGUACUCACGGUUUGGGACGAAAGACCGAAGAUCCGUGAGAGAGAAUUUGGCUUUUCUCUAGUUGGAAAUGGAACAAAUGAAUAAAUAUGGCUAAGGACCAUAUAUAUACCCCUGGGGUUUUGGUAGAAAAUAUUUUAUUCAGGCAGUGAACCUAAAUAUCUUGAAGUUUUGGAAUAACAGAGUUGCACAAAACCCUAGUGCAUCCUCUCUCCUGAUAUCUCUUCAAGUGUAAAUCCUGAAAUACUCAAAGUUAUACUAAAAGUCUAAAAGUUUACUACAACUGUUCUAACUUCUAUUGACUUGAUAUUGUUUGUACAGAAUUGAAAUUUCGGGUAGUCACAGUAGUUGAUGAAAAUACUGUUGGGUUUUGAGUAUUCUAGCACUCCUAUGGUGUACAUGAAACCCUAUAAACCUUGGAUCUAUGUUGUCUCUAUUAUACAUGCAAAUAAGAACUUUCCAAGGCUUUAAUCCUAACUAGCAUAUUAUGAAGCUCUUAUACUACAAAGUACUAGUUAGAUGACAUACCUUUUGAUGUAGGUUGAUGUCUUCAAGCUUUAAGAGCUUAGCCCUAAUAGUGUGGAAGCCUCAAGUGGAAUCACAAAUCACCAAAACACCUUGGAAGACUUUAGAGAAUAUGGAUACUUGGUUCUCUCUAGUGAAAUCGGCUAGCCCUCUUAGUGUAUCCAUACUAGUGCCAAUUUAACCAACCAAUGACAUCUUUAUAUAGUAUGGAGACUAGGGUUAAACCCAUGAACUUUCAUUUCAUAUGAUCCAUGGGUUAAACACUCCAUGGACUAUCCAUGAAAGCUUAGCCCAACCUAGAUGAACAUGGCCCAUUCCAUAUAUAUAAGAGUCCAUAUUUAAUUAGUUCAUUUUGACCACUUAAUUAAUUAUAAAUUAAAUCUUGAUCAAUACUAAUUAAAUAAUAUGAUUAUAUAUUAAUACAUUAGAACUUAUAAUAUAUUAAUACAAAUCAUAAAUAUACUAUUCUCAAAAGACUAUGCAUAUAAAUUGUGCCGGUGAAGUGCAACCCAAAUGGACCAUGCCAGGUUGGGGCAAGUACAUACCAAAUAUAGUUAUGGACAUAGACAUUAAUCCAAUAGUCUCCCACUUGGAUAAGUCUAAAACUAUUAUUGCGUAUGACUUCAAACCCUAACUGGCAAUCGUAGCUCUUAAAGCCGCUGUCGAACUCUGAUCUUGUCAACGAACUUGUCCAUUAGAUAAGGGAUCAUAUAUUCCUCCAUUCUAGAUAUCAUAUGGACUGAGACAUGGAUUAUAAUCAUUCUCUCUGUCCAUUUGUUGUUUCCCGAUUUCCGAUUUAUGACGACUGACUAAUUGAACAAAUCAAAUCAGUCCUGGCCCGGCCGAGCACUUCCAUUUGUCAUCAUCAAAUCAUCGAGGGGCCCACAGAUAUCGCUUUUAUCCCGAAGGUAAAAGGAAUGGAUAAACUUCGACUCAUAUGGCUUGUUCUACUACUUGUUGAAUCAUACACAAAGGCACGUUUUAUAACAUCGAGUUACCAAAUGCGUUUUCGUGCAAUCAAUGUACAACCAACUCAUAGUAACAACUCAUAUCUCUAGGUUUGAAGAAUAUAAGAUAUUAUCGUCUCAUGAUCACUCGUGAUAAAAUCCAUGAAGUGAUUCCAAUGAGCGCGGGUUGAAUCCAAUACUCAGAACUUAUGAGCACUCAUGAGUGUUGUAGCACAACUUUGUCCACCAACUUGGACCUCUACAAGCCAACCCAUGACAGUCUUGAUUCAUAUCUACUUCCAACAUAUGACUGACUGUGGAUGGUUUAAAUAACUUAGUCAUUCCGAAAGAAUAACCUAGUUUAUUUUGGAAGUCAAAACAUGCAAAGUGAAACACAAGAAUAAAUGAAUCAAAUAUGGUAUCAAAACCUAUGAAUAUAAAUAAACAUUUUCUAUUUAUCACCAUACUGAUUACUCAUUAUUCAUUGUUUUGGUUUUAUCAACUUUAUACUUGAAUUAAAACACUAGGUGUCCCAUGCUCCAAGCAUGUACAAUAUGUUUUCUAAACACUAGUCAUGCCACACACACCACGUAUGCAUACUAUGUUUCUCUAUGAUCUUUACUUUGCGAAAUAGACCAGUUGAAAUAACUCCAAUGAUUCUCAUUUCACAGUCCCAAUUUCUUACUACAAAUGCAAGAAUUCCAAAUUCAUGUCAUUUACUGAAAUCUGUUAGAUUCUAAACUUAUAUGCAUUGAUCCCCUUGUAAUGAUUAUGAACAAAUUCACUUGGCAACAAUCAUUACAGAGUAUUCCAAAGGAGAUCAACUCCUUGGAAACAUCCUUCUUGCAUUAAGUUUCUUAAUCUUACAUAGAUAUAUUGAACAACUUCCACCUAUGGGAUCAUUUCCAUAUUCCCCUUUUGACUAUCACUUCUGAACAAGAGUUGCCUCUUUUCAGAACACUAUACUUCCAACUGUCCUUGAGCAACCAAUCUUUGGUAAACCAUAUAUUGUCCUCGACAAUAGCUUAAUCAUUUUAGUCAUAUCAAUUUCUAGACCUUUUUCCCUUCUUAAUGCCCCAGGCAUUUGGAAAAACUUAGAAAUAAUGAAUAUAGCACAUGUAAUCGAUCCUAUAUCCGAAGCAUAUGGGACAUGAUUCAUGAUGUCUCACAUAAAGACUAAACCAGUCUUCUGCUAUAAUAUUUAUAUUUCUAUUUGCCAAGUUCCCAUAAUUCAGAUUAUGAAAAUGGAUGUCGUAAUCAUAAUCGAAUUUUAGAACGCAAAUAAUGAACCCAUAUAUAGAAUUUCCUUAUGUUGAGCCAUUCUAAUAAGAAAUUCAUAUAUAUAUUCUUGACUUAAUACGAUUAAAACCUCAAUCUAUGCUUUUAGAUUUGAGAUUAAGUAUAAUUUCCUCUCCCUUAAUUAUAGCAAAACAACUUUUUCAACCCAUGCAACCUCACGAAUUGAAACUUUUGUUUUCUAUAAUUAACAUUGCUAACUUGCAACCUUUAUCAUAAUUAUCAUGCUCCCACUAACACAAUGAUUAAUAGAAUAACAUUUAUGCUCCCACUAGCUUUGACAUGUACCCAGAAAUCAACUGAACUUCUGGAAAUCAAUACUUUAUUGACUUUCUUACCAAAGUUCAGAUUUCUGAUACUAGAUUGCCUUGAUAAGAAUUUAUCAAAAUCAUACACCUCUCUUAGACUUUUUGCCAUUUCCACAAUUACUAUCUACUCCAAAUCUACUUAGUGAAAGAGUUUCCUUACAAUCAUUUUCAUGAAUCCAAGAGAAACCUUAUGACACUUACAUUUUAUGGUGCAAGUGUUCCUAUCAAUGUGAAUUUGUCAAAACCAUAAUCAUAAGAAUAGGUUAGAGACAAAUCCUAACACAUAUGGAUUGAACUUGUGCAAUAUUUACUUCUUGCCACCUGGCAGCUCAAGGGCCUGCCAUUGCUUCCAAGUAGCUAUCCAAACAAUUGAGAACAGGUAGAACUCAAAUGUAUAGCCAACUUAACUGGAAUGGGCACAAAAAUAUCAACACGAUAGGUUAUAAACCUCUAGUUGUGUGCUAGUGAUGAAAUAUAGGUUUUUUGUUUUUUGAUUACUUCUUGAAACCCUUUCAGGAUCCUUUAUACUCCCACUGUCUCCUUGACCUAUAAGACUUUCUUCCCAAAUAUUCAAGAGAUAGGGUGUGGAUUCUAAUCAAGACAGACACUUAACACAAUUAGCCUUAGUUGGUCUUUGUUUUAUCCAAAACAUCACAACUUACCAAUUUUAAAUGUACAAGAGUAGAAACCUUUUACUUUUACAUUUGACAAGUGUUUUAAACCUUCUUUAAGACAUGUCACUCAAGUUACAAUAUUAGAGUAUGACUCUAUAAAUUGUUUUGGAAUGAAGUAUGAAUCGUCUUAUUGAUUUAACCACUUCAACAAUUCAUAACUCCUCUUCUUAACUAUCAGAAUGUACUUAGAGGAUGAUUGUAAUAAGGUCUCAAAAUCAUUAAGAUGAUCUUAAAACUUGAUACUAAAGUACUCUCCCAUAUUUUUAGAUUUGAGAAACUUUUAUCCUUCUGCCUAAUUUGAUUCUUCUUAUUCGUUCUGUCAUACAUUGAAAAUUUUCCAAUGCUUCAGAAUUAUACUUAAGCUUGUAAGUAUAAUCAUAUUUACUAAACCUUAGUAAAUCAUGAAGAAUAGUCUUAUCCAUCUUUUGUGGUGUACUUUGACAAGUGCACAAGAAGGUGUACUUGAUCCCUUUGUCCUUCUCUUGACUCACACGUCCAUGUGAACAAGCAGUUAGUCUUAAUUUUCCAAUCCUCGAAAGUUCUCAUUCAUCAUACUAUACAACUUGCAUGAUUCCAAGUUUCUAUCCAACUGAAACUUGGGUGAUGAGAAUCUGUCCUUAUUUGGUAAAGUUAGACACUACCACAAAUGAAAGAAUCAAAUUCAUAUUUCCAAUAUUGCUAUCAAUGGAAUCAUAUAAGCAACAUCUUUUUUCCCAAAUGCCAUUGUAAGGAUAUUUUAAAAUAAAUAAAAUUAAAAACUUUUCUUUUAUUAUAAAACUUUGCGGAAAAACUAAUCCUUUCAAUGUAAAUGUAUAUGAAAACUUGUUGUCAUCUAUUCCUAAGCAAUCUAUCAUAACUCUUAAGCACCUGCUCAAAAUUCUGAUCACCAAACCAUGCAAUUGAAAUCCAUCUUCCUGAUCAGAAUCAACAUAUACUUCCUUUAAGUUUCAUUACUUUUCUUUGAUUCUUAAAACAUCAACAUGUGACCCAGCCACAUCAUGUAAUAAGAAUCUCCAAGUAGGAACUUAAUAGAGUUAGACAAUGGACUUUAGCUAAAAUAAAGUCAAAGUUAUUGACUUUACCAUCCUUAGGUAAGUUUGGCAGCUUCGGAACCAAAGCCCCUUCCUUAGGCAAGUUGACUAUGGGCAAUCCCUUUCCAUUGGGAAGAGAAUGCUUUUCUGGAUUUCCUGUGUCACUAUUGUCCCUGUCCAUAAUGUUUUGGGAAGUUGAUCUCCUAAUCAAAUUUGCUUUACAAGCACACUAAAUCAUUUCUGAUUUAGCAGCACCAAGCAAAUAGAUAAGAUCAUUAAGAGUCUUGUCAUAGUCUAUUUCAUAGGAAUUCCAAAGGAACUCACUAUAGAAUGUGAUUGAACCACUAACUUUCUCAAGACUUUGACACCCAACUCUCCCGGCUUGUGAGUAUGUGACUUCAUCUCCAAGAUGUGAUCACACCUAGACCUUGCCUUGCCAAUAGGGCUUGAGUGACCUUGAACUAGUGGGUUUGGGAGAAUAAUUGGAGGAGGUGGAGGAAGAGAAGUUCUAAGAUAUUUGGGAAGAUCAUAGAUGUAUGAACUAGACAUCUUUUGGGAGAUAUUCAACAUAGUUGAUUUAAAGUCCUUAAUAUAACACCCAAUAUGGAAUAUUAAAGCUAGGACCCAACAAACUAUUUUAUAACUUGGAAGAGGGACGCCGUAAUCCAAGUUGUAGAAUAUUUGAAGGUAGGUGAAUGAUGAUUCACCAAUUUCCACCAUGAAAAACGAAAUAAUUUAUUAGGUUUUAAUUGGAUUUGAAACUCCUAGAUCUUUGAGAUUCAUUGAACUUUCAAUGGCAUGUUUCAAUCUCGAGUGUGCCCUUCAGGUUUUUUGACUGGGAUGCCGAGGAUCACAAAACAAGGUGUGAAGUAACCAUGCAAAUUACUUGGUACCCUUAAGUGCUUACACCUCAAUCGAUGUGUCGGUUAACCUCACACGCUCCAUCGAUACUAUGAUAAACAUUAAGUUACCCUUUGCCUACCUUGUUAAAUACGAGUUAGUGUGCCGGUUAACCACACACGCUCCACUAACCGACUUAAACAAAGUGCAAAGUGUAAUUUCAUGGAUUAGCACCUU
rnacentral:lncRNA from 1 species